rnacentral:rRNA from 1 species
CCUACGGGUGGCAGCAGUCGAGAAUCAUUCACAAUGGGGGAAACCCUGAUGGUGCGACGCCGCGUGGGGGAAUGAAGGUCUUCGGAUUGUAAACCCCUGUCAUGUGGGAGCAAAUAAACAAGAUAGUACUACAAGAGGACGAGUCGGCAAACUCUGGGACAGCAGCCGCGGUAAUACAGAGGUCCCAAGCGUUGUUCGGAAUCACUGGGCGUAAGGGGAGCGUAGGCUGCUGCGUAAGUCGUAUGUGAAAGGCGAGGGCUCAACCCGCGGACUGCACAUGAUACUGCGAGACUAGAGUAAUGGAGGGGGAACCGGAAUUCUCGGUGUAGCAGUGAAAUGCGUAGAUAUCGGGAGGAACACUCGUGGCGAAGGCGGGUUCCUGGACAUUAACUGACGCUGAGGCACGAAGGCCAGGGGAGCGAAAGGGAUUAGAUACCCCUGUAGUC